CUCCUGGAAACGGGUGGUAAUGCCGGAUGUUCCAGUUGAUCGCAUGGUCUUCUGGGAAAGCUUUCGCGGUAUGGGAUGGGGUCGCGUCCUAUCAGCUUGACGGCGGGGUAACGGCCCACCGUGGCUUCGACGGGUAGCCGGCCUGAGAGGGUGACCGGCCACAUUGGGACUGAGAUACGGCCCAGACUCCUACGGGAGGCAGCAGUGGGGAAUAUUGCACAAUGGGCGCAAGCCUGAUGCAGCGACGCCGCGUGAGGGAUGGAGGCCUUCGGGUUGUAAACCUCUUUUAUCGGGGAGCAAGCGUGAGUGAGUUUACCCGUUGAAUAAGCACCGGCUAACUACGUGCCAGCAGCCGCGGUAAUACGUAGGGUGCAAGCGUUAUCCGGAAUUAUUGGGCGUAAAGGGCUCGUAGGCGGUUCGUCGCGUCCGGUGUGAAAGUCCAUCGCUUAACGGUGGAUCCGCGCCGGGUACGGCGGUCUUGAAUGCAUUAUGGUAGACCUCAAUCCUU
rnacentral:rRNA from 1 species